rnacentral:misc_RNA from 1 species
CAGAGUCUCAUCAACAACUUGUUCAAAAAAUAUCAGUGCGUGUACCAUUCAAUGCCGUCUACUUUGACUCGGCCGAGUCGCCGUCAAGGCGAGUCAUUCUGGCUUAAAAACUCGGACACAACCGCCCGAGUUAACUCGGCAACAACCCUAGGAAAGACCAGCCGCCCCAGCCGAGUCAGGGCGAUUCGAGCCCAAAAACACCCGCAAGACGACGUAACUGGGUAGUUUUGAGCCCUUAUAACCCUUAAAAGGAAGAUAAAAAAGCUAUGACGAUGAUGAUGGAGGCAUAAACUUACAGGUAACGGACGGGUAGAAUCAUCCGGG